GACGAACGCUGGCGGCGUGCUUAACACAUGCAAGUCGAACGGAAAGGCCCUGCUUUUGUGGGGUGCUCGAGUGGCGAACGGGUGAGUAACACGUGAGUAACCUGCCCUUGACUUUGGGAUAACUUCAGGAAACUGGGGCUAAUACCGGAUAGGAGCUCCUGCUGCAUGGUGGGGGUUGGAAAGUUUCGGCGGUUGGGGAUGGACUCGCGGCUUAUCAGCUUGUUGGUGGGGUAGUGGCUUACCAAGGCUUUGACGGGUAGCCGGCCUGAGAGGGUGACCGGCCACAUUGGGACUGAGAUACGGCCCAGACUCCUACGGGAGGCAGCAGUGGGGAAUAGUGCACAAUGGGCGGAAGCCUGAUGCAGCAACGCCGCGUGCGGGAUGACGGCCUUCGGGUUGUAAACCGCUUUCGCCUGUGACGAAGCGUGAGUGAAGGUAAUGGGUAAAGAAGCACCGGCUAACUACGUG
rnacentral:rRNA from 1 species